GGGAAGCGCGACCGGCUACUUUAGUGUCAUCCGCUGAGGAUGACUUUUACUUUGUUUAAAACGCCUAGGGAAUAAGGGGAGGGCAAGUCUGGUGUCAGCCGCCGCGGUAAUACCAGCUCCUCGAGUGGUUGGGGUGUUUAUUGGGCCUAAAGCAUCCGUAGCCGGUUCUGUAGGUCCUCCGUCAAAUUCAACGGCUCAACCGUUGAGCUGCGGAGGAUACCACAGGACUAGGAGGCGGGAGAGGCGGACGGUACUCCGUGGGUAGGGGUAAAAUCCUCUGAUCCACGGAAGACCACCAGUGGCGAAGGCGGUCUGCCAGAACGCGCUCGACGGUGAGGGAUGAAAGCUGGGGGAGCGAACCGGAUUAGAUACCCGGGUAGUCCCAGCUGUAAACGAUGCAAGCUAGGUGACGGAGUGGCUACGCGCCAUUCCGGUGCCGCAGGGAAGCCGUUAAGCUUGCCGCCUGGGGAGUACGGUCGCAAGACUGAAACUUAAAGGAAUUGGCGGGGGAGCACCACAAGGGGUGAAGCCUGCGGUUCAAUUGGAGUCAACGCCGGGAACCUUACCGGGAGCGACAGCAGUGUGAAGGUCAGGCUGAAGACUUUACCAGACGAGCUGAGAGGAGGUGCAUGGCCGUCGCCAGCUCGUGCCGUGAGGCGUCCUGUUAAGUCAGGCAACGAGCGAGACCCCCACUUUUAAUUGCUGCUAUCAACCGUAAUGUUGGUAUAGCUAGUUAGAAGGACUGCCGCCGAUAAGGCGGAGGAAGGAGGGGGCCACGGCAGGUCAGUAUGCCCCGAAACUCCCGGGCCACACGCGGGCUGCAAUGGUAGGUACAAUGGGCUCCGACCUCGAAAGGGGAAGGCAAUCCCGAAACCCUACCUCAGUUGAGAUUGAGGGCUACAACCCGCCCCUCAUGAUCUGAAUCCCUAUAAUCGCGCGUCUCCCGCCCGAAAUGU
rnacentral:rRNA from 1 species